rnacentral:rRNA from 1 species
AUUGAACGCUGGCGGCAGGCCUAACACAUGCAAGUCGAGCGAGCGGCGGACGGGUGAGUAAUGUAUGGGGACUGCCCGAUAGAGGGGGAUAACUUCUGGAAACGGUGGCUAAUACCGCAUCCUCUCGGAUACCCCAUAUGGGAUUAGCUAGUAGGUGGGGUAAAGGCUCACCUAGGCGACGAUCUCUAGCUGGUCUUAGAGGAUGAUCAUCAAAACUGGGACUGAGACACGGCACAGAGUCCUACGGAGGCAGCAGUGGGGAAUAUGGCACAAUGGGCGCAAGCCUGAUGCAGCCAUGCCGCGGGUAUGAAGAAGGCCUUAGGGUUGUAAAGUACUUUCAGCGGGGAGGCGUUACCCGCAGAAGAAGCACCGGCUAACUCCGUGCCAGCAGCCGAGGUAAUAC